AGAGAGUGAUGAGGUGUGGUGAAUGAAGAAUCCAGAGAAUGGUGAAAGUGAAGAUUCAAGAUGAAAGUGAAUUAGGGAGAAGAGGGAUCCUGUAAACAAUAGUGAAGACUGGUUAUAUAGAGUUUCAGAGCUGAAAUGUAUCUUGCAGGUUGGUGGUUUGAAGGAAAAUAGUGUCAAGGUCUGCGGUUUCGCGUGAAAGGUAAUUGGUGGCUUUUGUAAACUGGUUCGGUUUGAGCCGUGUUCUGUGUUGCUGCAGAAUUUUGGCAAGACGUUGUUUUCUCCGUGGCAGGAUUCAGUUCAGUUGUGAAACUUGGCGUUUGAGAGAAAGUUGUUGGAAACAUGUAGAAAGUUGAAGAUGAACACAAGGCUUAGAACAAGUUUAGUUAUUUUUUUUUUUGUAAUUCUUCUGUAAUCCAAAUUUAUUUUGUAAUGGAGUUUGUAAUGCAUGGACAUUUUGUACUGAGGUCUUGUUCAUUCAAUUGUAGUCUCUGUAAACGUAACAAUGUGCACUUUGUAAUGAACAAUGUAAGCUUGUAAUGGAUGAUGAUGUUGAAUGGCACUUGAAACAAUAUUGUGCUCUUGUAAUCCUUUUGAACU